rnacentral:rRNA from 1 species
UACAGAGGUCCCAAGCGUUGUUCGGAUUCAUUGGGCGUAAAGGGUGCGUAGGCGGCGCGGUAAGUCGGGUGUGAAAUCUCGGGGCUUAACUCCGAAACUGCAUUCGAUACUGCCGUGCUUGAGGACUGGAGAGGAGACUGGAAUUUACGGUGUAGCGGUGAAAUGCGUAGAUAUCGUAAGGAAGACCAGUGGCGAAGGCGGGUCUCUGGGCCGAUACUGACGCUGAGGAGCGAAAGCGUGGGGAGCGAACAGG